rnacentral:lncRNA from 1 species
UCCUGGGACUCGGUGGUUGUGGGCUGAUUGUAAAGCACGGAAUGACUCUUAGAAACUGGGCGUCAUUCUUUGUGGUUUUCCAAGCUUGGUCUUGACCUACAAGGCUCUCAGCACAACAAGACUCUAUGAUUCUGUCUAUUGGAACAAAAAGCCAGUGAGGCAAGUGUAUCAUCCUGUUGAUGAAUUCACAGCAUCUGGAAGCUCCUAGCAGAGGCUGAAGACACUGGUUAGGUCCUGGUGCGUGCCUUGGGAUGCAUCCCAGGCAACGGGCCCAGGAGCUUGAGGUCAUGUUGAAGUGAUCCGAAGUGUUUAGGGUUAAAGAGCGUGAUUUUCCCAAACUGUCCAAAGAAAUAGAAGCAGGUCUGCAAGAGGGGGGUGCCCAGAGCCUUGAGAUGGAAGCGAGAUGGGGUGAGACCUGGGGAGCUCUCCAGGCCGCCGGGAAGCUGCACGUCAUCCUCUGGACCUCUUUGCUGACUGUGUGCUGUCACCACAGCAGCCGCCUUCUCUCAUCUGUAAA